rnacentral:rRNA from 1 species
GAGUAAUAUAUCGGAACGUGCCCAGUCGUGGGGGAGUAACGUAGCGAAAGCUACGCUAAUACCGCAUACGAUCUAUGGAUGAAAGCGGGGGAGUCGCAAGACCUCGCGCGAUUGAGCGGCCGAUAUCAGAUUAGGUAGUUGGUGAGGUAAAGGCUCACCAAGCCGACGAUCUGUAGCUGGUCUGAGAGGAUGAUCAGCCACACUGGAACUGAGACACGGUCCAGACUCCUACGGGAGGCAGCAGUGGGGAAUUUUGGACAAUGGGGGCAACCCUGAUCCAGCAAUGCCGCGUGAGUGAAGAAGGCCUUCGGGUUGUAAAGCUCUUUUGUCAGGGAAGAAACGGUGAGUUCUAAUAAAGCUUGCUAAUGACGGUACCUGAAGAAUAAGCACCGGCUAACUACGUG